rnacentral:tRNA from 1 species
GUUCUUGUAGUUGAAAUACAACAGUAGUUUUUCAGGCUACAGAUCUUGGAGAUAAGCCAAGCAGGAACU